UGCUCAUGGCUUCCGGACGACCUCGCAUCUUCGUGUCAAAAUCUUCAGCGCCCAUUAUUCCCAAAAUAUCCCAAAAUAUUCUCUUUCCCCUCCCUUCCUUUUUUUAUUUCUUUUUCUUCUUUCACUUUUCUUCCACCCGGACAGAGCCUCCUCCUCUGUUAUUCAAACCGUCGCCUCCCCCCUUCCUUGAACCGAGCUCUCCCCCUUUUAAUCUCCCCGGGCGCCGGUUCAGCAUGGAAUAAAAUCAUAUCUUCCCCAAUUUUAGGCGUGGGGAUGGAAGAGAAGGAGCUGGACGCGCUGAAUCUUGGAUCUCGCUCGGAAUGGCAGCUGUGAGGAGGCGGGGAUGCAGGCGGAUGCCUGAUGCGGGAGUCGUCCGGCUGGCUGGAGACGUUGCUAGAUGGUACGCACGGUGAUCGCGGAAGCUGUGAGGCAUGCCGGCACGAUCUCUGCUGAUCUGGUCGCGAUGAUUACAGGGAUCUGAAAUCUGGGACGCCGCGGCUGUGUUCGAAAUGGAAGGAUGGUCGGAGAUGCGCUGCAGCCUUGAAUCAUGCCAUGGACGCGUUGAAGACGCUUCGGACGAACUCCUGAUUCGCUGGCUGCACCGUGGGAUAAGAGGAGAUCUGGGAGGAUCUGAAAAAUGGCUGGAUGCAUGGACGGCAGGCUGGUUCACCGCAUGAUACGCUGGGAGAAGAGAUCUUUCCCUUGCUUCGCAACGGAUCGCUGCCUGUUUUGGAAGUUUGGGGAGGAGGGGAUGCGCUGGAAUGAGCUGAUGGCGGAGGAGCUGGAUCCUGGAUGAAGACAAACGGCCGUGAUGACUACGGGAGGAAGAAGAUGAAUAGUGAGAUGGGUUUUGGUCUUCGUAACACUGUUCAUUUGAACAGUGUUUUUACGGAACACUGUUCAUAUGAACAGUGUUUUCAGUAAUUUUGGGAAAACUUGUUUUUCUUGCUUUAUUUUGACGUGAAAAUGGGCAUAUACAAAUUUAAAACAAGGGUUUCCUCUAUUUUGCUUAGUUUGGAAACGUGAUGCGGAGACGGGAGUUUCAGAACCGUUGGAUUGCUUGGAUAGUGGUCGCGGGAA
rnacentral:lncRNA from 1 species